UUUUUGACCACACAGAAGCAGUUUUAAAUGAGUUAUGUCUCAACUCUGACUAUUCUACAUUGGGUUAUAUUUAGGAAAAAUGUUCUCCUGAUACUCAUUUUGAAAAAGUAUCUUCUUCGAGAUUUUAUCCCUCCUCAGAGAGAUUUAUAUGCGCUUGGCCUUCGUGACUGAGAUUCCCUGGAAUGAAUGGGAAGCCGCGGUGGGGCAUGGAACAAAGAUCUUCUUAUUGCAAGCUCAGUGGAUCUCCAACAAUGUUAUUAAUGAAUCACCAGGUCCUUCUGGGAGAACAAAAGUACAAGUAGACAAAUUAGAUACAGAAAACAAGGGCUGACCCUGGAGCUUGGAGAGAGCAGCGAACGAAGUGUCUCACACGGAGAACAUGCAAAGACACUGAAGGCAGCUUGGCUGGCGGAGGGAAGAGGGGAAUGUUAACCGUGAACG
rnacentral:lncRNA from 1 species